GCGACCGAUCCGGCGACGCUCGAUCCGGUGCUGCGAGCUAGGGUUCGAUCCGCCCCUCUUCUCCUCCCCUUCCCUCCUCUGCUCUUGCCCCUUCUCCUCCACCCAAUUUUUUUCGUCCGUCUCAAUUCGCUCGAUCCUCCCCUCCUGAGCGGCGGUUGCAGGCGUCGUGGUGCCAUGCCACUCCUCUCUCCUCAAGGCGCCGCCAUCCCGAGACGCGCUGAUCUGGUGCCGCUGGAGGUGAUCGCCGUCGUCGACCUGGCAGGCUCAAUAGUCGCCGCUGGAGCUCCACAUCCCCAAGACGAGGUGGAAGAAGCCCCAGUCGUGGGCAAGUGCCGCCGCCCCAACGGCACCGAUGAGGUCUGGGAGGUAGAGGUCAGGGACAGUGGAGAUGACGGAAAAUCCACGGACGCUAGUCGAAGGCCUUGAGAAGGACGACGCAGUCGGACUCAAGAGCAGCUGCACUAGAGGACACCGUCGUCUUUAGAUCGCGUAGGUCUAUUGAAUUUGAUGAGUGAAGGGCAUGGAGCUGAGAAGGUUGGAUCGUGCGGUUGUUAGAAUCCUCCCAGUGUGUUGAACCUCCCAAUGGUGCUGCUGUGUUCGGCAACGGCCAUGUGACGGACAGAGCGAGAGGCCCAUCAUCAUGGCCGGACGCAACAAGGGAUGGUACCUGAGGCACAGCCGCUACGGUGCUGAGAAGGAGGCGGCUGUGGCACCAGACAGAUGCUGGACUCAGCUUUGAUGCUCAAUUAGGGCGGCCACACACAUGACUCUGCCCAAGGUUCAACUGCAGUUGGCUCAGAUAAAAAGGAUUGCAACAUUGGCAGUACUGUUGAUAGGAUGGUUAGUUUUGGAAGGGGAAUGGUAGUAUGAGCAGAGAUUGAAAACAAGGCUGCAGUGCAAACACUCCUGCUCAACCAAAUUAAGCUCAGUGUCAGCUGUUGAUUAAACAUCGGAUAUACUCCCCCAAAUGACAUCGUUGCACUACACUGGAUCUGACGAGUAGGGAAUCCAGCUAGCUAUCUGAUGGCACUUCCACAUGUAUAAGUUUUGAGCUUAGGUUAUAUUUCUGAGGGGAGCAUACUUAUUAUUACCUUCAUUGGGUUUGACUUUUGGCUACUGUAUUGCUGUCACAACUUACCUGCGAAAUAGAAAGAGAGUCAUGUCUGAUAAGGAUAUGUAUCGAGUAAUUAGUAUGUACAGAAGUGUUGGUUCUUGGUUCUUGCAUGGAGGUGAGUAACCAUGAGGUGGGCAAUUAUGGGUUGCAAACGUUGCUGCUGCCCAUCACCUGGUCCAAUUCAAGCACACCCAGUAGGCUGCCUUGAAUAAAGGAGUUCUCAAAGAUGAUGUCUUUUAGCACGACCAUUUUAUUGAUUUAGUUUCUGUACAAUUUUGGGGCAUCCAAACUUGGAAAGUUUCAUCCUCCAAGUUAAAUUGGGACAAUCCAUUCAUUAAUUUCAGCAAAAAAUAUUGGUACUGUUCUUCCCAUUUUUAUUCACAUUCGUAAAAAUAUAGGUUUAAUGAUGGCUCUGCAAUUUUCCUAUUAGUAUGCAUGAUUUUUCUUUUUGAUUGCUCACCCUGGUACUUUUUUCAGUAAGAUCAUAAAUGACAAUUAUAACGGUGGUGAUUUUUACCACCAAUUCCUUGUUUUUCACUUCUCUCACACUCAUGAUAGGUUGAUAUAUAUUUUCAGUUAUCUAUACAUCUUCAGUAUGUUGAUGUAGCCCCAAUUCCCAUGAUACAAUCAAUGCAUUUUCUGCAGCCCAUCUCAUGCAGGCAGAUGGGGCGAUACAUUCAUGAGCUUGCCACUAUGCUUAGCUAGCUUGUUCAACUUCUCUUGUGAGAUCAAAUUACUUUGAUGUGAAUUUUCACAGCUCUUUGUGCUCUUUCCUUCUUGCUGAACCAAUGUUUCCUCAUUAAAUUACUU